rnacentral:rRNA from 1 species
AUUGAACGCUGGCGGCAGGCCUAACACAUGCAAGUCGAGCGGAGCUGCGGACGGGUGAGUAAUGCCUAGGAAUCUGCCUGGUAGUGGGGGAUAACGUCCGGAAACGGGCGCUAAUACCGCAUACUAUCAGAUGAGCCUAGGUCGGAUUAGCUAGUUGGUGGGGUAAAGGCCUACAAGGGCGACGAUCCGUAACUGGUCUGAGAGGAUGAUCAGUCAAACUGGAACUGAGACACGGGCGAGAGGCCUACGGGAGGAAGCAGGGGGGAAUAUUGGACUAUGGGAGAAAGCCUGAUACAGCCAUGCAGCGUGUGUGAAGAAGGUAUUCGGAUUGUAAAGCACUUUAAGUUGGGAGGCGUUACCAACAGAAGAAGCACCGGCUAACUUCGUGCCAGCAGCCGCGGUAAUAC